GCAGGAGACAGUAAGGGUGCACGGUGGAUGCCUUGGCUUACGUAGGCGAUGAAGGACGCGAUUAGUCAGCGAUACGCUUCGGGGAGGUGACAUAUAACCUUUGAUCCGGAGAUUUCCGAAUGGGGAAACCCUCCUGUCAUGAACAGGAACCGUAUUAGUAACUUUAUACGGAGCGCACCCGGGGAAGUGAAACAUCUCAGUACCCGGAGGAGUAGAAAGCAAUUGCGAUUCCCCAAGUAGCGGCGAGCGAAACGGGAACAGCCCAAACCUGCGUUUUCGAACGCAGGGGUUGUAAGACAAGAGCGCAGUACUUGUACUGGAAGAGUUACAAAUCAUUCUUAUAGAAGAAACUGUUGGGAAGCAGUGCCCUAGACGGUAAUAGCCCCGUAUUUGAAAUAAGAAUGACUCUUUUGCUCUUGUUCUUGAGUAGUUCGAGACACGAAUAGCUCGAAUGAAUCUGCCGGAACUAACCGGUAAGGCUAAAUACUACGUAAGACCGAUAGUGAACUAGUACCGUGAGGGAAAGGUGAAAAGAACCCCGGUGAGGGGAGUGAAAUAGAACUGAAACCGUGUACCUACAAAGGGUCGGAGCCGAGUAUCUUUAUGAUAUUUCGGUGACGGCGUGCCUAUUGAAGAAUGAGCCUGCGAGUAUAUAUCUGUUGCAUAGCUAAGCCCGUUAUGGGGCGGAGCUGUAGGGAAACCGAGUGUGAAUAGCGCGAUAGGUAGCAGGUAUAUGACCCGAAGCCAGAUGAGCUUGCCAUGAGCAGGGUGAAGUGUGUCGAAAGACACGUGGAGGCCCGAACCCAUAGGUCGUACAACGCCUUGGGAUGACUUGUGGUAAGGAGUGAAAAGCUAAUCGAAUCUGGUAAUAGCUGGUUCUCUCCGAAACAGCUUUAGGGUUGGCGUUGCGUGAUCCUUCCGGGGGUAGAGCACUGGAAGGGAUGAAUAGGGGGAAACCUCGUCAUUCCUAUCAACCUCCGAAUACCGGAAGUUAUAGCGCAGCAGUUAGAAGGCGGGGGCGAAGCUCCGUCGUUCAAAAGGGGAAGAGCCCAGAUCGCCAGUUAAGGCCCCAAAAUCGACGCUCAGUACAAAACAAGGAAGUGAGGAUUCUCAGACAAUGAGGAGGUUGGCUUAGAAGCAGCCAUCCUUUAAAGAAAGCGUAACAGCUCACUCAUCGAGAGUCCUUGCGCCGUAAAUAAUCGGGGUUAAGCGUCGUGCCGAAACUGCGGGUUUACACACUUCACAGGGGAGGAAACUUCCAAAAAUAAAGUUCUUUUAGGGGUGCUAAUAGGACAAUCUUGUCAGAGGUUCGAAUCCUCUCACCCCGACCACCGUAUAAAAUCGGUGAUUAAGAAAUUUUGAGACGAAUAUUUAAGUAUAAUUUAUGUUCGCCUCUCCUGUGAAGUGUGUAAGCGGUAGGAGAGCGUUCUGUUCCGCGAUGAAGAGAAAGGGGUGACCCAUCUUGGAGCGUACAGAAGUGAGAAUGCAGGCACAAGUAACCACAAUGCAGGUGAGAACCCUGCACAUCGAAAGACUAAGGUUUCCCGGGCCAUGACAAUCAGCCCGGGGUUAGUCGGGCCUAAGGGGAUGGCGAAAGCCGCACCCGAUGGACACAUGGUUAAUAUUCCAUGACCGACACACAUGCGAAGGGGUGACGGACUGUAGUACGUACGACCAAUUAUUGGAUUUUGGCCGGUUUCGUAAGGAGGUGUUCCAGGUAAAUCCGGAACACAUAUACUCCAAGCGAAGUCGCAACGUUCCUCUACGGGGGGAUGAAGCGUACGGAGCACAGUUCCAAGAAAAACCUCUAAGCUUCAGUGUGUGUUCGACCGUACCGAAAACCGACACAGGUGGUCUGGUCGAGAAGACUAAGAUGAACGAGUGAGAGGUCCUCAAGGAACUCGGCAAAACAGCGGCCGUAACUUCGGAAUAAGGCCUGCCCUGAGCAAUCAGGGCCGCAGCGAAAGAUUUCCUAGCGACUGUUUACCAAAAACACAGCUCCCUGCGAACUCGUAAGAGUAUGUAUAGGGGGUGACGCCUGACCAAUGCCGGAAGGUUAAAUACGGUUGGUUAUAUACUUCGGUAUCUAGCUGGACUGUAUAAGCCCCGGUGAAUGUCGGCGAUAACUAUAAUCGUCCUAAGGUCAGACACAUUUGUCUAACAUGUCAAGUGUGUCUGAGGAUUGGGACGGUUGUAGGGUAAACAGAAUACGUUAAGCUACCUUAUUAUGUAGAGAUACAUAAUUCAAUCCAGUCGCGACUCAUAUGAGAGGCCAUACGUCGUGCUUCCUUCGGGAAGAAGACAUGGUCCUUCGCGUGCUAAAAGGAAACGAAGAGCGAAAUUCCUUGUCAGGUAAGUUCUGACGUGCACGAAUGGCGUAACGACUAGGAAACUGUCUCGAGGACUCGCUCGGUGAAAAUGCAAUACCGGUGAAGAUGCCGGUUACCUGUAGUUAGACGAAAAGACCCCAGGAGCUUUACUGCAGCUUCGUAUUGGGGCUACGUGAUACGUGCGUAGCAUAGGUGGGAGACUUUGAAGCAUAUCUUUUGGGAUAUGUGGAGUCGUCAGUGAAAUACCACUCUCGUAUUGUGUAGUUCCUAACCGUCGGGUGGAACCCCGACGGGACAGUGCGUGGCAGGCAGUUUUAGUGGGGCGCUAUCCUCCUAAAAAGUAACGGAGGAGUCUAUUAAGGUCGGCUAGGCGCGAAUGGAAACCGUGCCGAUAGUGCAAUGGCAAAAGCCGGCUUAACUGCGAGGGGUACAUCCCAAGCAG
rnacentral:rRNA from 1 species